UAUACUGUCGUGAUGCCACCACCACUUUCCUCCUUGUCGCUGGUUGUUCGAUCACUCUCUUAGCCUCAUCUCCCUCUUCCCCUUCAUAGAUCGACGCCCCUUCUUCUCCCGAUCAGGAUCAACACACGACGUCCUUGCUUCUCCAUCCAACCAAUAAGAUUUACGAUCGGAAAAAUAAAUUUGCGUGGUAGAUCGCAUCAUGAACAACUUCCUCACUUCUCUCCGAUCCCUAAUCGCUGCCUUGAGGAAGGAGAAGGACGCCAUGGACGGCUUCUUGAUCCGCUUCACCUUCUCGUUGUUGUUCUCCUUCUCCAUCGCCGCUCGAGCGUUGAUGCGUAGGUCCGUCGACUUCUCUGUGAUUUUCGUCGGGAUCCCCGCCAUGGUGAUCCACAUGUUGGCUGGAUACAGUGAUUUUGGGUGUCUGCGAAGGUUCACGACUCUGCUUCUGUUGUUUUUCUCGACCUCAACCAAGGUUACGAGGUUCGGAUAGGAGAAGAAGAGGGGAAUCGAGGUGGACUUCAAGGAGGGAGGGCAGAGGAACUGUUGAAGAAAUAAAGUGAACUACAAAGUCAAAGAAGCAAGGCAAACUUAUACCCUCACCGUCUUUCUCGAAAAGGAUAUGCGUAUUUAGUAAACAUUAAAUUCCUACUUAAGUAUUCUUUGCUUGUCAUUGCACUUGAAAAAGUUGAACAUGGUGUUUCACUAAUACAUUGAUUACCAGACAAUGUUGAAUGUUGUAUUUUGAUUGUUACUCUAGGUAAAAAAGUUCAUUUUCCAUUAAAUUUUAAAAAUGAAUUUCGAGAAUUGUUUGGAGAAACAGGAUACUUUGGCCAAUAGACAUUAUUACCAAGGAUAUCUCCAUGAAAAUCUCGCUUUGUAGAUGCUACUGAGAUGUGAAUACUUUCUGUUAAAAUUAUUAGCUGUGGCAAGAUGUUGUUUUCAUAUUCAUUUUGUUAUUUCUAGAUUGGUUUCAAUAUCAUCUCUUUGUUCAAUUUUCUUACCCUCAAAUUCUGAGCUCUGCAUGCAUGUAUUUUGAUUCAGAAUCAUCUACUAUUUUUUACAGUGGCCAGCUUUUAACAUAGAAAGUUUCAGACAGAUGACAUCACAUUUCUUUGAUUUUAAAUCUCCAUUUUCCAAUUCGUGUUUCAGGAACUUGUAGUGAGAGGGGAAAAAAAAGAUCUAAUAGAAUACUGAUACAUCUUUUCUCUCACCAGUAUGCAGAUAAGUUCUUUGUUCAAAAAAUAGUAGGAGAUCAGCUUUCAGUCACACAACAAAUGUGGGAUAGUAUCAGUGCUAAUGACAAGAAAAUAGUCUAUCGACAUAUUGUGGCUUCAGAUGCAGAUGUGCAUGUUGUUUAUGGCCUGCCAUCAGCAAAUACAUCUCUAACACUCGCAAAAGCUAUGCUUCUGCAAGAUCAGACAACUACCGUGGUAGAUCUUAGUUCUAGCUGCUUAUUAAGUGAUACCUUGCGUAAAUCUUCUACUAUGAGUUCUAUUUGUUAGUAUUAGCCCUAGUACCAAUUAUGAGAUGAUUGUAAAGGGCACAUUAUUGUAUCAUAUUUCAUUAUAAAUAAAAAUGUAAAGUUGGUUAUUAUAUUUA